rnacentral:rRNA from 1 species
UACAGAGGUCUCAAGCGUUGUUCGGAUUCAUUGGGCGUAAAGGGUGCGUAGGUGGCGCGCUAAGUCAGGUGUGAAAUUUCGGAGCUUAACUCCGAAACUGCAUUUGAUACUGGCGUGCUUGAGGACUGGAGAGGAGACUGGAAUUCACGGUGUAGCAGUGAAAUGCGUAGAGAUCGUGAGGAAGACCAGUGGCGAAGGCGGAUCUCUGGACAGUUCCUGGACACUGAGGCACGGAAGGCCAGGGGAGCAAACGGG